UGGGCUUUUCCUUCUUGUCAUCCUGCCUUCAGUCCAUAGAAGAUAAAUAUCAAUCACUGAGGGCUUAACUGGGCCACUCUUGAAACCCUGACAGUUCUGUUUGGCCUCCAUGGAGGAUCACACAUACUCUGAAUUAGCUUCCCUACUUCCACAAAGCCAUGAGGUUCUCUCUUCAAAACAGGCUUAAAACUUUCACAUUUAACUUUCAUUGCUGCUUUUUUUAGCAUAAUUAGGAGGUGUUUUUUCUGGCUUGAGGGAUGGGUUUUUCUACACCAGAGCCUGCAACAGUGUUCACGUAAAGAAGUGGACAACAAACCACUGAAGAAGAAUCAUGGUAGUAAGUACCCGUUACUUACCUGUAACUGGAGGUUCUUCAAGAUGAGUGGUCCCUAUCUAUAUUCCACGGAGGGUAACAUGUAUGCUCCACAUGUCCGGAGCUGGAGAUUUUGAAAGCAGUAGUGUCUGUUGGUCCGUGAGUGCACCCUUGCUCCAACUCAUGGUUUUGUCCGAGGCAGCGAUAAAGGGCAUGGCGGACCAACAUGCCCUCAGUUCCUUCACCACCACAAUUCAAAAGAGAUCCACAGCAUAGGGGAAGGAGGGUGGGAUUGGAAUACAAAUAGGAACCAUUCAUCUCAAAGAACCUGCAGGUUAGUAAGUAACCACCUCUUCUUUUCUGAGUGAUAGUCCAUACUGUAUUCCAUUGAGGGUGAUUAACAAGCAGUACCUAGUCAUGAGGAGGAGUGCGUGAGGAGAUAACAGAACCGAUGACUGGACAACAGCUCUGUGGAAUGAGGCAUUCAUUGCAGAAUCUCGUUUCAAGGCGUAAUGUGAAGCAAAAGUAGAAGGCCAAGGCCCUGCAGACGUUGAGGGAGUGAAGGCACAUUCCUCUGCCAAGGCGCAAGGCUUCGGGAAGAAAAGCAGGGAGGAGAGGAGUAGGAGCAGCAUGGAGAUCAAGGCUUGAGCCUCCCCUUUGGAUCGCGUUGCUAGCAGCCAGUCAUCAAGAUAUGGGAA